rnacentral:rRNA from 1 species
UACGGGAGGCAGCAGUGGGGAAUCUUAGACAAUGGGCGAAAGCCUGAUCUAGCCAUGCCGCGUGAGUGAUGAAGGUCUUAGGAUCGUAAAGCUCUUUCGCUAGGGAUGAUAAUGACAGUACCUAGUAAAGAAGCCCCGGCUAACUCCGUGCCAGCAGCCGCGGUAAU